UGGCUCAGAACGAACGCUGGCGGCAGGCUUAACACAUGCAAGUCGAGCGCCCCGCAAGGGGAGCGGCAGACGGGUGAGUAACGCGUGGGAAUCUACCCUUUUCUACGGAAUAACGCAGGGAAACUUGUGCUAAUACCGUAUGAGCCCUUCGGGGGAAAGAUUUAUCGGGAAAGGAUGAGCCCGCGUUGGAUUAGCUAGUUGGUGGGGUAAAGGCCUACCAAGGCGACGAUCCAUAGCUGGUCUGAGAGGAUGAUCAGCCACAUUGGGACUGAGACACGGCCCAAACUCCUACGGGAGGCAGCAGUGGGGAAUAUUGGACAAUGGGCGCAAGCCUGAUCCAGCCAUGCCGCGUGAGUGAUGAAGGCCCUAGGGUUGUAAAGCUCUUUCACC
rnacentral:rRNA from 1 species